rnacentral:rRNA from 1 species
UACAGAGGGUGCGAGCGUUGUUCGGAAUUACUGGGCGUAAAGGGCUCGUAGGCGGCCAACUAAGUCGGACGUGAAAUCCCUCGGCUUAACCGGGGAACUGCGUCCGAUACUGGAUGGCUUGAGUUUGGGAGAGGGAUGCGGAAUUCCAGGUGUAGCGGUGAAAUGCGUAGAUAUCUGGAGGAACACCGGUGGCGAAGGCGGCAUCCUGGACCAAUACUGACGCUGAGGAGCGAAAGCCAGGGGAGCAAACGGG